GACUCCUUCGUAUAGUGGUUAUUACGCUCGCUUGUGGCGCGAAUAACGCGUGUUCGAUUCACGCAGGGGUCA
rnacentral:tRNA from 2 species